rnacentral:misc_RNA from 1 species
GAUGAAGAACGCAGCGAAAUGCGAUAAGUAGUGUGAAUUGCAGAAUUCAGUGAAUCAUCGAAUCUUUGAACGCACAUUGCGCCCCUUGGUAUUCCAUGGGGCAUGCCUGUUCGAGCGUCAUUUACACCCUCAAGCUCAGCUUGGUGUUGGGCGUCUGUCCCGCUUCGUGCGUGGACUCGCCCCAAAGGUAUUGGCAGCGGUCCUUGCCAGCUUCUCGCGCAGCACAUUGCGCUUCUCGAGGCUGGAGGAUCGGCGUCCAUCAAGCCCACUUCCACAGUUUGACCUCGGAUCAGGUAGGGAUACCCGCUGAACUUAAGCAUAUCAAUAAGCGGAGGA